rnacentral:lncRNA from 1 species
UCCACCAAGAAGAAGGGCACAAUCCACCGUGAUUCGAUUACAAAAAGCUGCACGGUUGUACCUGGUAAGUCUCCGAAAUGAUCAUUUAUUGAAUAAUCUUUAGAAAACAGAAUAUCACCAUGUGAAAGUAAGGAUUUUAAAAAUUUUUUGAGGUCACUCACUUGUUACAAAGAGAAAAUAAAUUAUUUCAAUGAGAGAAGAAUCAUGGUCACAAACAGUAACACAGGCUGGGGCUUCCUACGGAACAAGCACCUCAUGAACCUGGGGCUGCCCCUGGAACGUCUCCCUUUGAAGCCCAGGGUGUCUGACAGUCUGAUUUAGCACCCCUGCUUCUGGAACCCAGCGUUAGGCCUCAGGACCCACAGGUGAUGAGAAGCUAAAGUCAGCAGCUGCAAAGAUGUACACAAUGUGCUGAACCGGAGCAAAUUCCGUAAGGUCGGUCCAAGAAACCGCGAGGCUAGAACUGGACUGAGCAUUGGAACUUUUCAGGAUGGUGUCAACCUACUCCUUGAGUUAAUCAUUUUAAGGUGCUGUGAGUCGAUCGCGAGCAACGAAUAAGUCCUCGCUAUCAGGCCUGUCACCGGGCGAUCCAGCUCCCUCCAUCAUCGCCAGGAGCGCUCCAGUGACUCAUCAGUCUUUCCCCACCUGGGAAAUAGGAACAAUGAUGCCACGAAGGGAGGGUGUGGGGUAGAGCUGCCAGGCUUGUGCAGUUGUGGGUUGGAGCGGAAAUUAAGCUCAGCCUGGUAUUAACCUUCCAGGGAGCGGUAUCAAUGGGCCACAAGGGCGUCCUGCCCCAGCCUUCCACACCCCCGCCCCCGUCUUUGCCGACUCAUGGCCGUGGGUUGGGAGAGGGGGCAGCAAUCUGAGAGGAUCUUCAAAAAUAAAGUCAGGGCGAGCUUCCCGGUUUGGAACAGUCGUUCUUUUCCACUUGCUCAUCCCCUCCCCGGCCACUGUCUUUCAAGUGAAAACCAUAUCCAUUUUCAAGAUCUCUUCAUAAAUGAUGAUUUAAGAGUAAAGGCUUCAGAAGAAUGGAGUCACGUGAUAAUGCUUUCAUUAAAAUACAGGCCACUGCCACUUCAAGGUUUUGCCUUUUUCUACCAGCUGCCAUCAUGUUUACCUUAAAUACAUAUAAAUUUAAGCUCCAACUUAAGCUUAUAGACCUUUAAAAGCAAAAAAGGAAGCACGUAGACCAAAUAUUUCUUUAUCUUGGAUACAGAAUCCUAUUGAAUCAAUUCUUAGACAGUCAGUGCUGGAAGAGAGGACAGAGAUGAUUGAAUUCAAUUUCCAUAAGGAGGCUGAUGUCUAGAGACGAGGCAUCAUCUGCCCAAGUUUAUCUACAAAUCUGGCUUUCAAACAAGAAAAUGACACGUUUAUUCAUUCCAUUUUUAUGGAAUGGACCGCCAGAAAUACGCCCCACAAAAGCAGCGACUAGCGCAGUAUCUGUGCUCUCGAUGUGUCUGCAACCUAGUCUAGGAGAGAGACACCUGGAGUCAGGCCAGGUGGGGAUGACGUGGUCACGUUCUCAGCAUACUUAGGAUGAUUCCUCACUGGGAGAAGGCAAGGGGUACUCUGAGAGAAGUACUGCUGAAGGCACAUUCCAAACGAGAGAGCAGCUGUGCAAAGGCCCAGCGGGCCCUAGAGCAGGGUACAUGGUUAAGGGGCUGAAAUGUGAGAAUGGAGGAGUGUGUGCAGAAUGCUAGGUGGAGAGGCCAACCACGUGACUGGAGAGGGAGGCAGGGGCCAUGGAAAGCCUGGAGGGCUGUGCUAAUGAAGGUGAUGGAGCCAGUGUAGCAGCUAACCAGAGAGAGGCCAGAGAGGAACGCUGGUUUUAGAAAGGCAAUUCUGGAAGCUCACAGAAGAAGGAUUACAUGCAGGCAAGAAAGCAUUUCAGAGGCAUUGCAAUAAUCCAGGCCAGGAAUGAGGAUCUGAGACAGGGUGUUUUCAGUAGAAGGCAGAGAGAAGAGAUAGCAGAUGGGGGGGUGGGGGUUGCAGAAUUAUCAUAGAUAUUGAUAACCGAUUAGUUACCAAGGGGGAGUUCAGAGAAGAGAGAUGUCAGGAAGAACCCAGGUUUCUGGCUUGGGCUGUUGGGUAACUGACAGCUCACUAAGCAAGGAAUUGCUGAGAAGGUUAAGACUUGAAAGGGGAAAUGAAUUCUGCUUAGGCGAGGGGUUGAUAUUCUAUUGGGUUUGAAGUGGCUGUAGGACAUCCAGACGGAGGUGUCAAGAAUCGAUUGUUUAAAGGGACCUGAAACUCAGGAGAGAGAGAUGCCCUAAAGAUAUUGGGAGUCACUCAUACACAAAUAAGAUAUGGGAGGGGGCGAGAUAAGGCAGAAAAAUGUGAAAUGAGAAGAGAAGAAUGUCAAGGAUGGAACACUAACAUUUAAGGAAGGGAGAAAGGAGGGAAAUGAAAGAGUGGUAAAAAUGGAGGUUAAAGAGACCAGAGGUUUUGGUAUCAAAGAACAACAACUGUGAGAACAGAAGCGUAAGAUCUAGAUGGUUAGUGGUGUGAUCAGAAGGGAGGAUAAAUGAGUUUAAGCCAAGGUACCAAGGAAUGGUGAGAGGAGCUUUAGCUCUAUCAUCUCCAUCACCCCCUUCCAAAAUCAACAAUCAACAGAAGUAAAAGUUAAUACUUUUUGUAAAGUAUACAAACUAUACUUUUGGUGAAAAAAAAAUCUAUAUUUGCAUUUGCUAUGACAAAUCCCUCAGCUACACCUUCCACCCAGAUGACUGCCCCCAAGCCUCCCCUGCAUGUAAAAUGUGGUCCUCCUCCCGAGCUGAGAGUUUCAGUGGGAGCUGGGGAUGAGGCCACGGUGCAACCUCAGCAAGGGGUUCUUGAAGUGAAAUGGGGCAGAGGUUCCCGGAGAGGAAGGAGUCAAGAGCCCGUGGGCCCAGGGAUUCGAUGGCCACUGUUUGGGCAUAGAAGAUUCCAGAGCCAUGGGAGGCACAGGGGGAAGAGGGAAGACCAGGAGCCUAAGGUUCAAGGAAAUGGGAGGAGGGCCUGAGAAUUCAGGAGAUGGCAGAUUCUCGGUUCUUAGAGACAAAGAGACCUCCAACAUCUCUAGGCUUGCAUUUCGCCUCUUUAAUCACCCCAGCCAGGAAAGGGCUUCUCUUUCCCGCAGUCCUCACACACGUUCCAGGUUUGACCCUCUUGGUACCAAUUUGAGUCAUGUG